AUUGAACGCUGGCGGCAGGCCUAACACAUGCAAGUCGAACGAGUGGCGGACGGGUGAGUAAUGUCUGGGAAACUGCCCGAUGGAGGGGGAUAACUACGCGAAAGCGUAGCUAAUACCGCAUACCAUCGGAUCUGCCCAGAUGGGAUUAGCUAGUGGGUGGGGUAACGGCUCACCUAGGCGACGAUCCCUAGCUGGUUUGAGAGGAUGACCAGCCACACUGGAACUGAGACACGGUCCAGACUCCUACGGGAGGCAGCAGUGGGGAAUAUUGCACAAUGGGGGAAACCCUGAUGCAGCCAUCCCGCGUGUGUGAUGAAGGCCUUCGGGUUGUAAAGCACUUUUGGCAGGAAGGCGGUACCUGCAGAAUAAGCACCGGCUAACUACGUGCCAGCAGCCGCGGUAAUAC
rnacentral:rRNA from 1 species